GGCCAGACUCCUACGGGAGGCAGCAGUGGGGAAUAUUGCACAAUGGGGGAAACCCUGAUGCAGCGACGCCGCGUGAGUGAAGAAGUAUUUCGGUAUGUAAAGCUCUAUCAGCAGGGAAGAAAAUGACGGUACCUGACUAAGAAGCCCCGGCUAACUACGUGCCAGCAGCCGCGGUAAUACGUAGGGGGCAAGCGUUAUCCGGAUUUACUGGGUGUAAAGGGAGCGUAGACGGCAAUACAAGUCGGAAGUGAAAUACCCGGGCUCAACCUGGGAACUGCUUUGGAAACUGUAUGGCUGGAGUGCUGGAGAGGUAAGCGGAAUUCCUAGUGUAGCGGUGAAAUGCGUAGAUAUUAGGAGGAACACCAGUGGCGAAGGCGGCUUACUGGACAGUAACUGACGUUGAGGCUCGAAAGCGUGGGGAGCAAACAGGAUUAGAUACCCCCGUAC
rnacentral:rRNA from 1 species